GCGGAAUUAGUACAGUGGCAGUAUACGACCUUCCCAAGGUUGAGACGCGGGUUCGAUUCCCGUAUUCCGCU
rnacentral:tRNA from 1 species